AGAGAGAGAGAGAUAACCGAGCGAGGGGGAGGAGAAGUAGAGGUUUGGGCCUUUUGUUUUUUUUUAAGUUGGGUUGUUGUUUCAUAUUGCAGUUGGGUCGAUUUUAUUCUUAUGUGGGCUUGAUGUCUAUUUCAAUUGGGCUGAAUUAUUUUAUAUAAGGAGGUUGAGCUUUUGGGCUUUUAUCUUAUGUAGAUUGGGCUGCCAUAAUUAUCUGACUGGGCCCAGAUUUCCCAUUUAUGUUGGGUAGAAUUUUAUCUAUUUAGCCCGAUUUAAGGGUAGUCUAGAUUAAUC
rnacentral:lncRNA from 1 species